UUGAAAAAUGCUGGUUGCUGGUAACUAUUGAUCCUUUACCAUCUUAACACCUUUGACUAGAGUUGGCUCCCCUUGUAAAGGGCUUCCUGUUAGGGCAUAGGCCACGCCCAGCGCAGUGAGAACCUAUUCAGUGGAUUGCUGGUUCUGGGGAGGAGAUGGAGAUAUAAGGACCCCAGGGCCAAUCUGAUUCCACCUAUAAGGACAUGUGAAAUUAGGAGUUACAGUAGCUCUCAGUUGUAAUGACAACUGAGAUGGGAAGAUUCCAGCCAAUGAAAGGCGCCUACUUGGAGAAGGUAUUCUCUGCACAAAGACUCAAGUGACAUGACCCAGAUGUUUAACGUGGCAAUGAGCUCAGCUGGAAGAUUUGGCAGCCACGUUGGUAGCUUGAAGCACCCAACCAGGACUGUGUGAAACAGAUAUUUUGGGGCGAAUCUUCUGAGAGGACUCUGUAAGUAGGAACUGACUGCGUCCACACCCGUUGUCUUUACUUCCUGGGACAGAAAGCUGAAUGGAGUAGCUACAACUCUAGCUGCCGUACUGUGCCAUGAAAUUGCCCUGAAGUAGGAAGUCCUCUAUGAAGGAUGGAGGAAGAAGAGACAAAAGCACCUGGGAACCUUGGUGACACUCUAAAUCCCAGACCAGAUGGACACAAGCCCUCCCUGGGGAAGGGAGCAAGUUUUGCCUCAUCCUUUGACAUCCCAGAAGUCCCAGGGCUUCCACUGUUGAACCACCGCCCUCUUUUCCUCAUUUGCUGGCAUGGCCACCGCUGGCAUGGCCACCACAGACCUAGGGAUCUUGGGAAGACUUUACAGAGUGCGAAGCUGUGUCUGUUUUGUCGUUAAGAGAAAUAAACUGAGAGGUAAAGGUGAGUUUAAGUGACCAAAUACAAUCUGUGAGCUAAAGCAUAAAAGGAAUCAAAGCCUUGUGCACUGUGGCGUUACAUAUGCACUGGACUUAAACAAAAAGCAAAAAAACUUUCUAUCCUCUCACAUCUUUUGAGAAAUCCAAAGGCUUGGUAGACCUCAGGUAGGGCUGGAGAUAGUUCCUGGACAGAUCAACAAAGAUCCAGUGUGUGUG